UGUGUAGGCGGUUCUUUAAGUUUGCUGUGAAAUCUCCCGGCUUAACCGGGAGGGUGCGGUGAAUACUGAGGGACUAGAGUACGGGAGAGGAAAGUGGAAUUCCUGGUGUAGCGGUGAAAUGCGUAGAUAUCAGGAGGAACACCGGUGGUGUAGACGGCUUUCUGGCCGUAACUGACGCUGAGACACGAAAGCGUGGGUAGCAAACA
rnacentral:rRNA from 1 species